AAAAAAUUAGUUAAUUAAUAAUAUAAAUAUGUCAUAUUUAAGUAAUUUUAUUGAAAAUAUUUUUUU
rnacentral:tRNA from 1 species